GCUGGGCAUGGUGGUGCAUGCCUGUAGUCCCAGCUACUUGGGAGGCUGAGGCAGGAGAAUCGCUUGAACCCAGGUUGCAGUGAGCCGAGAUCAUGCUACUGCAGUUCAGCCUGGGCAACAGAGUGAGACUCUGCCUCAA
rnacentral:SRP_RNA from 1 species